GUUGUUUGGAUAGAAAUCAAUUGUGUGGAACGGGUUGUUGUGGGGUUGAGACCUUAUCAGCUCUCCUUACUCUUUACCUUUUUCACGCAAUGCACUUUCUGUUUAACAAGUCAACAUCAAUUUCUUUUGUUGUAAAAGGGCCGGCGGAAGGUGGCUUUCUUUUCGGAGAAAGUGUUUAUAGCCGUUGGUCUCUACAAUCGGAGAGAUUGAGGUCUGCAGCGUAGAUCCUUCGGGGUUAGAUACGUUGGUGCUAAGUUAUAAUCCUACAUAGACAACUUGUUGACUAUGUUCGAUCAUGUAGCUUACUCGCUAGCGCUAUUUUACCUAC
rnacentral:rRNA from 1 species